UACGUAGGGUGCAAGCGUUGUCCGGAAUUAUUGGGCGUAAAGAGCUCGUAGGCGGUCUGUCGCGUCUGCUGUGAAACUCAGGGCUUAACCCUGAGCUUGCAGUGGGUACGGGCAGACUAGAGUGCGGUAGGGGAGACUGGAAUUCCGUGGUGAUAGCGGUGAAAUGCGCAGAUAUCAGGAGGAACACCGGUGGACGAAGGCGG
rnacentral:rRNA from 1 species